GGAUAACUUACCCUUAGGACUGGGAUAACUCUGGGAAACUGGGGAUAAUACUGGAUAUUAGGCUAUGCCUGGAAUGGUUUGCCUUUGAAAUGUUUUUUUUCGCCUAAGGAUAGGUCUGCGGCUGAUUAGGUCGUUGGUGGGGUAAUGGCCCACCAAGCCGAUGAUCGGUACGGGUUGUGAGAGCAAGGGCCCGGAGAUGGAACCUGAGACAAGGUUCCAGACCCUACGGGGUGCAGCAGGCGCGAAACCUCCGCAAUGUACGAAAGUGCGACGGGGGGAUCCCAAGUGUUAUGCUUUUUUGUAUGACUUUUCAUUAGUGUAAAAAGCUUUUAGAAUAAGAGCUGGGCAAGACCGGUGCCAGCCGCCGCGGUAACACCGGCAGCUCGAGUGGUAGCUGUUUUUAUUGGGCCUAAAGCGUUCGUAGCCGGUUUGAUAAGUCUUUGGUGAAAGCUUGUAGCUUAACUAUAAGAAUUGCUGGAGAUACUAUUAGACUUGAAGUCGGGAGAGGUUAGAGGUACUACCGGGGUAGGGGUGAAAUCCUAUAAUCCUGGGAGGACCACCUGUGGCGAAGGCGUCUAACUGGAACGAUCUUGACGGUGAGUAA
rnacentral:rRNA from 1 species